rnacentral:rRNA from 2 species
CAUGUAGGCGGAUUAAUAAGUUUGAAGUGAAAUCCUAUAGCUUAACUAUAGAACUGCUUUGAAAACUGUUAAUCUAGAAUGUGGGAGAGGUAGAUGGAAUUUCUGGUGUAGGGGUAAAAUCCGUAGAGAUCAGAAGGAAUACCGAUUGCGAAGGCGAUCUACUGGAACAUUAUUGACGCUGAGAUGCGAAAGCGUGGGGAGCAAACAG